GAUGAACGCUGGCGGCGUGCCUAAUACAUGCAAGUCGAGCGAACGGACGAGAAGCUUGCUUUUCUGAUGUUAGCGGCGGACGGGUGAGUAACACGUGGAUAACCUACCUAUAAGACUGGGAUAACUUCGGGAAACCGGAGCUAAUACCGGAUAAUAUUUUGAACCGCAUGGUUCAAAAGUGAAAGACGGUCUUGCUGUCACUUAUAGAUGGAUCCGCGCUGCAUUAGCUAGUUGGUAAGGUAACGGCUUACCAAGGCGACGAUGCAUAGCCGACCUGAGAGGGUGAUCGGCCACACUGGAACUGAGACACGGUCCAGACUCCUACGGGAGGCAGCAGUAGGGAAUCUUCCGCAAUGGGCGAAAGCCUGACGGAGCAACGCCGCGUGAGUGAUGAAGGUCUUCGGAUCGUAAAACUCUGUUAUUAGGGAAGAACAUAUGUGUAAGUAACUGUGCACAUCUUGACGGUACCUAAUUAGAAAGCCACGGCUAACUACGUG
rnacentral:rRNA from 1 species